GCAUCAGUGGUUUAGUGGUAAAAUCCAUCGUUGCCAAUUGGGAUAACCCGAUAUCGAUGGGCCCCGCGUUCGAUUCGCGGCUGAUGCA